AUUCCUUCUCUAUAGUCGCAUUUUUUUCUGUCAAUUGAUGCUAAAAAUUAUUUUGCGAGUUGGAAAAAAAUGCAGUUUUAAUUUCAUUUGCACCAAAUUUAAUAGAUUAAUUAGGAGAGAAUAGAUGUCUUUAAAAGCGAGUCUUCCUAUCAAUCUGCAAGUUUUAACUGAGGUGUUACAGCUUAAGACCUGAGACAUUUUAGAUGCUUCACUACCUGACAUUUCUAUAUCAAUCCAAACUCUUGUACUUAUUUCUCAUUUCUGUGGACUUCAUUCUUCAAAAGUACUGCAUGUUUCAUAAGCAAGGAUCAAAGAAACUGUCUACAGGUGGUGAACAUGUGUAGAAGAGGACCAUCUAUACCUUCUGCGGUGGUACCAUGCACAGCAUCACCUAUUUCCUGUCAUUAUUUCCCCUUUUGGAAGCUCAUUGCAUCUUUAUAAUUCAAAAGGCACAAGUUUUAUAUAUGUACCACCAGGAAUAGAAGUGAUCUGCUUUUUGGCAAGUAAUUGCCCAGAAUGUUAAGUACUUUUUUUGUUCUCUGAAUAUAUCUUACAUUUUCCUCUAUAGUUGUUUACCUCAUUGAUUUUUUUUCCCUCCAUGUUUUACAUUAGAAGCAGGAAUAAGAUUUGUGUGUGGUAAAUAUAAUUAAUGCAAUCGCAUGGACACUUGGUCCCACUAAAGCAUUCUAACCAGGCUUUGUCACAAGCUGAGUACCUCCCAUAGGCCAGUUUGGAUACCAUUUGUAAAAUACUUUAUUUCUCAUUUGAAUCAUGAGCCCACAGUUUUUAGAGAGGUCCCCAAACUAGAUCCUUUUAAAACAUUUCUGUUACAUGCAAAUAGACCAUUUAUAGUUUUACUUUUUAUGGUACCUACUAGGUCUCCCUCUAGAACAGGAUCUGAGCCUGACCAUAGUUGAUGUUUUCCUUAGUGCCCAAAUUUAAGACUCAGAUGCUAUCACAAUUCCAGCUAUGUAAGGAAGAUCCAGACUGUAGAACACAUAGUUCUAUCAUUUUAUUGUCAUCACUGGAAUUGGACCAAAAAACCCAAGGCACGAAGAUAAUUUUACUUUCAUUCACAUUAUCCUGAUUUUCAUUUGUUUUCUGUUUAAUCUAAAUGGGCUUAGUAUUGAUGGCUGUGUUUUUUGGAAGUUUUAACUGACUUUUCUGGAACAUAAACUACACUGUCAUCAGAGAACUACUAAGUGCAUUGCCCAACCUGUCUCAAUAGACAAGUUUAACCCCUAGUACAUUGAAUCAGGGCCAUAAGGGAUGAAUUGGUUAUUAAACAAUCUAGAACAAAAUGUGGUCAUUCAUCCUCUUUCAUUCCUACUUCUUAAGUGUGUCAAGAGUUAAUCAGUUGUGCUAGUGGUGUAUAACAUUUCUAAGCUUAUAUAUAAGUUUAUCUGGAAUGUAUUUUAUAAAUAUGACAUUAUGGUUUUGCAAUUAUAUUUUUUCUUUAAUAUAUUGUGGACGUAUUUCUAAACCAAUAAAUGAAGCUUACCUACAAACAUUUCAUUGAUUAUAAAGUAGAUAUAAUGGGUUUAUCCAUUUCUCUAUUUUGGGAAAUGCAGAAUAAACCUUUAUUUUUGCUGCUACAAAAAAUGUUUUAAUGUAUAUAAUUAUAUAUAUAUAUAAUUACAUAUAUGUAUAUAUAUAAUAUUAAAACACUUGGUCUUCUAUGUCUGUAAGAUAGAUUUCUAGUUGUGGCACUGUUGGAUCAUCAGCUCUGCAUACUUUUAAUUUCAGUAGAUAUUGUGAAAUUGCCAGCACAUAACUAUGGUGUAAUGGCUGUGCUAAUUUUCAUAAAAACUUAUAGGAUAUAUAUUAUCAAUCCAUUAAGUUUUCAACCAAUCUAAUAGGUGAAAACCGUAUUUUUAACUUAAGUCUUAAAUAGUAACUGGCCAGGGAUUAAAAAAAAGACCAUAAAUGUUAUGUUUUUUUUAUAAGAAAAAAUAAAAAUAGUACACAUUUCCUCCAAUCACAAGAGUCAUCCUGGUUUUGUUUAGAGGUAGAAACCAUUGACCUUUUCUCGGUGGAGGGGUUCUUGGAGGUAUAUAAGCUUCUUUUUUUUAAAAAUAUUUUAUUUAUUUGUCCGAGAGAGAGAGUGCACAAGCAGGGGGAGUGACAGGCCAAGGGAAAAGCAUGCACCCCACUAGACAGGGAGCUUGACACAGGGCCACACAGGAUCCCCAGUACGUAAGCAUACUGUCUUAAGCAUACCUUAUACCAGUAGUAUUUUUUUUUUGCUUUUUAUGUUUGAAAUAAUUUUAGAUUUAGAGUUGCAAGAAUCAUAUAGAAAUCCCUUUCAGAUGCUCUUACCCAGACUUUUUUUCUACAUUGUUUUGUUCUUUUUUUUCUUGCUUUCCUGCUCUUCCUCGUUCCCUCUUUUUUUCUCUCUCUUCUCUCUCUCCCCCACCUUAUGUUAUUCUUACUUUAUUAAGUAUUUGUAAGUAAGAUAGAGAUUUUAUGUCAUUGUAUCCCAAAAUGUCUCAGUAUUGACUUUCUGAGACUCUGGUACAGGUUUUUAAAUCAGGAAAUUUAUUAAUAGUACCAACAUAUUACAUUAAUAUAUAGUCUGUUAUUAGAUUUCACCAGUUCUAAUACUGUUCUUUAUGGCAAUUUCUUUCAUCCUUCAGGACCUGGAAAAAAGAAUCUGUAUUGUGUUCAAUCAAGUGUAAUGUUUCUUUAGUCUCACUUAAUCUG